AUUGAACGCUGGCGGCAGGCCUAACACAUGCAAGUCGAACGGAGUGGCGGACGGGUGAGUAAUGUCUGGGAAACUGCCUGAUGGAGGGGGAUAACUACUGGAAACGGUAGCUAAUACCGCAUACUAUCAGAUGAGCCUAGGGGGGAUUAGCUAGUUGGUGGGGUAACGGCCUACCAAGUCGACGCUCCGUAACUGGUCUGAGAGGAUGAUCAGUCACACUGGAACUGAGACACGGGCCAGACUCCUACGGUAGGCAGGAGUGGGGAAUAUUGGACAAUGGGCGAAAGCCUGAUCCAGCCAUGCCGCGUGUGUGAAGAAGGUCUUCGGAGUUUAAAGCACUUUAAGUUGGGAGGCGUUACCAACAGAAUAAGCACCGGCUAACUUCGUGCCAGCCGCCGCGGUAAUUC
rnacentral:rRNA from 1 species